rnacentral:tRNA from 1 species
GAGGGUAUAGCUCAAAGUGGUAGAGCACAUGCUUAGCAUGCAUGAGGUUUCAGGUUCAAUCCCCAAUACCUCCU